rnacentral:lncRNA from 1 species
UUUGGUUUCAGAUUGGAUUUAUACGCUUUGUGGAUUUCUACCCCUCGAGGUAGCUGGUUUUCAAAAUAGAGUUUCCGUGUGGGAAACAGUUUUAAAAAGGUUUUCGAAUGGUUUUCAUGAAUGAAUGAGUUAGAGUUUAAAAACAAAAGCUUCCGUGUGGGGAGCACUUUUAAAUAGGAUGAUUGUUGUACUGUGCAUUGCAUCAUCCAGCGCCUAAGGAGUGCUUAGAGGCAUGCAUCAUCUCUAAGGAUUGUUAGCUGUAUGAAAAUGCAUAUCAUCUUGGUUGUUGAUUGGUAAUUGUAGGUUGUGGUUGUGAUCCUGUUGUAUCGUUGGUACGCCGUGCAAAUACAAAGGAGACUCUGUCCGAGUGGACAGAGGAACUUUGUAUUUGUGGCGGGUCUGUACGUCACGUGGGCCAGGUUGAAAAAAAAAAAAAAAGUACAUCUUCCGCGACUCUGAGUUUUCAAAAUGGUAAUGAAUUUUCAAAAUGGCUUUGAAAAUCGGCCCCGGGGCGUGACAUGUUGUUAUCUUCCCUGUGGCCUGACCGGACUUCGAGGCGAGGGUGGGCCUAGCAUCUGCGAUCGGCGCACCAUGUCGACCAUGGAUUGCGUCUGAUAGGCACCAACAAGGUUAGCACUGUCGGUCGAGUUCCCCAAUGCUGUCGCCCUUUGCAUAGAAUGCGAACUCAAACCGGAAAGCAUGUACGCGCGGCCUGUGGUUCGAUACCUUUGAUGAUCUACCAUUCUCUCCUGCAACUGCUGUAACUCCUGAUCGGGAUUUGUGGACAAAGAUUGUAUGAGAGCACUCUGAUCCUGUUAGCAAGGAAUUUUUAUUGGAGAAAAAAAAAAUCAUAACUAUGCUUGAUUUAAAAAUAUGAAGACUCACAAUACCCAUGUAUUCUUCAGAUUAUUGAUAUAGACUAAGCCCAACAACAUUUUAAACGUAAUUAGCAUAUCCUAUGCAAGAUCCAUUGCAAGGAGGAAACAUACCGUGAAUGCAUCCUUCAGAAAUUAAUAUUUGACUAGUGUAGUUAUCCGCACGAUACAGUGGACAAAUAUUAUCGAAAGUAUUUUUUUAUUAUUGUUGAUUAUCGAUGAUAGUUUGAAAUUGUACAUAUAUCAAAAACAAAAUACAGUGAGGAGAUGAAGAAAGAAAAAAAAAAAAAAGAGAUAAAAAGAGAGGCGUAAAAUAAAGGAAUGACAAAAUAAUUUAAAUAAAAUUAUUAGCAAGAUUAAUAAUUCAAUUAAUUUAAAUAAAAAUAAUUUAAAUAAAAUUAGCUCAAGGUGCUAUAAAAUUUUUAUAUAUAAACUUUAAUAUGAUUUAAAUUGUAUUUGUUGAAUUAGAUUUUAAUUGUAUAAUAAUAAAUUUUUUAAAAUUAUUCAGUGUAUAUAUAAAAUUGUAAAUUUGGGUAAGCAAUUAUUUAUAAAAUAUAUUUUCUAUCAGCUUAUUGUUUAACAAUUUUACAUACAUCUAAAUAACUAUAAAAUAAAUUGAAAAAAGCUAAUAGAUAGGGUAUUUAAAAAAAAAAACAUUAAAGAAAAAGUAAAAAACAAAAAAUUCCUGAUUACUUGAUUAUCACCAUAUAUAUAUAUAUAUACUAUCAAUAGUAAGUUGAUUAUAUAUCCAUACACUCUCUUCCACUUCUGUUGUCGCUACCGCUGCCGCCGCAUCCAAGAUCUUCAUCUUCUACCACCACCGCCAUCCCCACCAAAUACACGACGAAAUCUGCGGAUUCUAUGAACUUGACGCGAUGCGACAGUGAUGAAAACGAGCGACUUUUACGGGAGAGGGAGAGGAUGAAAGAGAUUUAGCAAGAGUUGAAGAACGAAGAGAUUAAUGGAGACAUGGGGGAAGAAAAAAUUAAUUAUUAAUUAAAUACAAUAAUAAAGAGAGAGAAGUGGGGUUAUUGGAAGGUAAAGAGGUGAACGUUAAAGAAGAGAAGAAGAGUUAGAACUUUUGGAAGAAAAAAUUAAUUUUGAAUUAAUUACAAUAAUAAUAAAAAGAGAGAAGGUGAUGUUAUUGGAAGGUAAAGAGUUAGAUGUUAAAGAAGAUGAGAAAGAAAUAAUUAAAAUAUAAAAUGAAAUAAUUAAAAAAAUGAAAAAAUGAGAGCUUGCCACNCUUAGACCUAGUGGGAAGAUCGGCGGAGUCGGCGGCCGAACCCACUGGGAACUAUAUCUUUAUAGUUCUCACCCCGUGUGGUUUUGGGGUACAGGUACACACGUGAGCGGACCGGCAGGUGAUCGCGGUAAGGGCGU